rnacentral:rRNA from 1 species
GAUGAACGCUGGCGGCGUGCUUAACACAUGCAAGUCGAACGAAGCACUUUAUUUGAUUUCCUUCGGGACUGAUUAUUUUGUGACUGAGUGGCGGACGGGUGAGUAACGCGUGGGUAACCUGCCUUGUACAGGGGGAUAACAGUUGGAAACGGCUGCUAAUACCGCAUAAGCGCACGGCAUCGCAUGAUGCAGUGUGAAAAACUCCGGUGGUAUAAGAUGGACCCGCGUUGGAUUAGCUAGUUGGUGAGGUAACGGCCCACCAAGGCGACGAUCCAUAGCCGACCUGAGAGGGUGACCGGCCACAUUGGGACUGAGACACGGCCCAAACUCCUACGGGAGGCAGCAGUGGGGAAUAUUGCACAAUGGGCGAAAGCCUGAUGCAGCGACGCCGCGUGAGCGAAGAAGUAUUUCGGUAUGUAAAGCUCUAUCAGCAGGGAAGAUAAUGACGGUACCUGACUAAGAAGCACCGGCUAAAUAC